rnacentral:rRNA from 1 species
UACGUAGGCAGCGAGCGUUGUUCGGAGUUACUGGGCGUAAAGGGUGUGUAGGCGGCUGUUUAAGUUUGGUGUGAAAUCUCCCGGCUCAACUGGGAGGGUGCGCCGAAUACUGAAUGACUAGAGUGCGGGAGAGGAAAGUGGAAUUCCUGGUGUAGCGGUGAAAUGCGUAGAUAUCAGGAGGAACACCGGUGGUGUAGACGGCUUUCUGGACCGUAACUGACGCUGAGACACGAAAGCGUGGGUAGCAAACAGG